rnacentral:misc_RNA from 1 species
GGGUAAACAGGGGCAGAUAUGUGUAGCUUACUUUAAUGAUUUCAAGAGGUCCUGCUGCUAAAUUCCAUGAAAUUUUGGAGUGGAGCCCUAUAAAAAGUGAUGGCAUAGUGUAAAACUGCAUGUGUGCAGAGUUGCUAGGGAUACAAAUACAACAGAUGAUUGCUUGUUUAGAUAGAUGUACUUUUCAGUCUCUGUGCAUGCGUUGUGUUUUUGUUGUCUUUUUAUAUUCAGUGUUAGAAUCAGAGGAGCCACUGCACAAUCGUGUGUUGAGCAUUGUGUCUCAAAUUUACAUUGCAC